GUGGGUGCACAUAUGUGGGUGGGUAUGGCUAUGGAUAUGUGUGUGUAUGUGUGUGUGUGUGUAUGUGUAUAUAUACACACACACACACACAUAUAUAUAUAUACACAUAUAUGUAUGUGUGUGUGUGUGUGUGUGUGUAUAUAUAUAUAUAUAUAUACACACACACACACACAGGUACCUC